rnacentral:rRNA from 1 species
UAAACUAGGAUUAGAUACCCUAUUAUUUUAAAGGUUAAUCUUAAAUAUCAAAUUAGUAUUAGUUAUUUUCUUGAAAAUUAAAAAAUUUGGCGGUAUUUUAGUCUUUUCAGAGGAACCUGUCCUAUAAUUGAUAGUCCACGAUAAUAUUUACUUUUAUUAUUAGUUUACAUAUCGUCGUAGUUUAAAUAUUUUAAUAGAAAAUAUUUAAAAUUUUGUAUUAAAAAAUAAAUCAGAUCAAGGUGUAGUAUAUAUAAAAGAAGAGAUGGGUGACAUUAAAUUUAUUUUUUGAAUAAUUUUUUUUAAAAAAAUUUGAAUUUGGAUUUGAAAGUAAUUUUUUAUAUUGUUUAAAAACGAUUAAAGCUCUAAGAUAUGCACACAUCGCCCGUCGCUCUUAA